CUACGGGAGGCUGCAGUGGGGAAUAUUGUACAAUGGGGGAAACCCUGAUCCAGCAAUGCCGCGUGUGUGAAGAAGGCCUGCGGGUUGUAAAGCACUUUCGGUUGGGAGGACUGCUUCUAGCACUAAUAUUGUUGGAAGUUGACGUUACCUUCAGAAGAAGCACCGGCUAACUCCGUGCCAGCAGCCGCGGAAUACGGAGGGUGCAAGCGUUAAGCGGAAUUACUGGGCGGAAAGCGCGCGUAGGCGGCUAGAUCAGUCGGGUGUGAAAGCCCCGGGCUUAACCUGGGAACUGCAUCCGAUACUGUCUAGCUUGAGUACAGGAGAGGAGAGUGGAAUUCCACAUGUAGCGGUGAAAUGCGUAGAUAUGUGGAGGAACACCAAUGGCGAAGGCAGCUCUCUGGCCUGAUACUGACGCUGAGGUGCGAAAGCGUGGGGAGCAAACAGGAUUAGAUACCCUCGUAGUC
rnacentral:rRNA from 1 species